UAGUGCUUCCGUACACAAUAUGAACAGGUAUGGGGAUAACGAAUCCCCUUGUCUUAGCCCUUUUUGUGAUACAAUAAGUCCUCGCGGUUGACCAUUUAAAAGUACCUGAUAUUGCACUGAAGAUACACAUUCCAUCAUCAGUUUUAUCCAAUGAGAAUCGAAACCCAGUUUGUGAAGAAGCGCCUGAAUAAAAUCCCACUCUACCCUGUCAUAAGCCUUGCUCAUAUCCGUCUUAAUUGCCAUGUAAUAUCGUGUCUGCUCAUAGCCGCAGUCCUUAGUGGGCGGUAGAAGAUCUUCAACCAUGGUGUUUGAAGACGUGGAUGCGCUCUAGCCGGUGAUCGAAGAUGGCGGAUGAUGAGUGAAGAAGGCGAUCAAGGAGAAGCUUCAUAAUUUACACGGUGGUGACUAUCUCAAGUUCCAGCGACAGGGAACACAAUUUCAGGAGUCGACGUUCACCGUUUGCUUAACCCAUCUCGUGCUUCCAUGUGUGCUACACGUGUUGAUCGGCAUGGAACAUUACUGAUCCUUAUCUUUAGUCUAUUGGGCUUAGAUAAGUGGGAUAAAUUUGAUCAAUGUUGUAAAUAGUGGGUUAUUGGGCUUAUUUCAUUUUGUUACUUACUGCUGUAAAACUUUUCUUAAUGAAAAAGUUGGUUGAUAAAAAAAUAACAAA